CCUACGGGCGGCAGCAGUGGGGAAUAUUGCACAAUGGGGGAAACCCUGAUGCAGCGACGCCGCGUGAGGGAAGAAGGAUUUCGGUAUGGAAAGCUCUAUCAGCAGGGAAGAAAAGGACGGUACCUGAACAAGAAGCUCCGGAUAACUACGUGCCAGCAGCCGCGGUAAUACGUAGGCGGCAAGCGUUAUCCGGAGUUACUGGGUGUAAAGGGAGCGUAGACGGCCGCACAAGUCUGGAGUGAAAUGCCGGGGCUUAACCCCGAAACUGCUUUUGAAACUGUGCAGCUAGAGUGCAGGAGAGGUAGGUGGAAUUCCUGGUGUAGCGGUGAAAUGCGUAGAUAUUAGGAGGAACACCAGUGGCGAAGGCGGCUUACUGGACUGUAACUGACGUUGAGGCUCGAAAGCGUGGGGAGCAAACAGGAUUAGAUACCCGAGUAGUC
rnacentral:rRNA from 1 species